ACUUCAGCUGUUGUUUCCGUGACAUUGGUGAGUAGCAGACGAUCAUUAUUUGAAUAAAAAUAGUCAGUCAGACAAAUGGCAGCGCGACACACGUGGAAAUCUUAUUUACUUUGGUGUGCAAAUGAACAUGUGUCCUUCAGAAUUCCUGAAGUUGAAGCUAUUUUAGCAAUGUACAAAAUUCCACAUACAUGGAUAGAAAAACCAGCAGAAAAUCCUUGGAUGCUCAUUUCCAUGCCCAGUGAGGAUUGUGCAAUAAAGCUUAUGAAGAGAUCUGUCACAGUUCGGUCCAUAAUCGAGUUGUGGGCAAGAUCAACCACAAAAGAACACCUUGAUGACCAACUAAAAAUCCUACCUACUGAAUUUACAUUUUAUUUCAAAAAGGAAAACACAUUCAAAGUUGUGGUGGAUACAUUUAAUAAAGUAACAAGCCAAGAGGAUAAAAUAAAAAAAAUUGAGUCUUUUAGUUUUCUGCCUAUUCUUGGAACUGCCAAUUUGAAAAACCCAAGUGUGACCUAUCAUUAUUAUGAAUUUUUUGGACUUGAUGCAGGACGUAUUCCGGAGAAUCCGUAUGAUUACUUUUUUGGCAGAUGGGUUUCGAAUAGCGAAAGAUCGGCCGUAGAAAAAUAUUCCCUUAAGACUAGACACUUCAUUGGCAACACUAGCAUGGAUCCUAAAUUAUCGAUGAUUAUGGCUAACCUUGCCCAGAUUGACGAUGGCCAUGUAGUUGUUGACCCUUUUGUUGGGACAGGAUCUCUUCUAGUAGCCGCAGCUCAUUUCGGUGGUUAUGUUUGCGGCACGGAUAUAGAUUAUCUCACACUUCACGGGAAGAUGAAACCUAGUAGAGCUCAUCAAAAAAAACGUCAACCAGAUGAGGAUAUCAAGGGGAACCUCAAGACUUACAAUCUCUUCUCGCGCUAUUUAGACGUGUUUGUGGGUGACGCAUCCAGACCCGUUUGGAGACCGGAAUUUCGUUUCGAUUCCAUAAUAACCGAUCCACCCUACGGAAUUCGCGAAUCGACAGAAAAAGUGGGCAGCAAGAAAAUAGCUCCUGUUCCGGAAGAACUAGCUUCACCACAUUUCCCUUCAAAAACCCAAUAUGGUUUAGGCGAUAUGUACAAAGAUCUUCUCAAUUUUGCUGCCAACAACCUCAAAGUAAAUGGAAGAGUGGUAUUUUGGAUUCCGAUUAUAAGAAUGGAAUACGAUCCUGACCUGUUACCAGAACAUCCCUGUCUUGAAACGGUAGCCAAUAGCGAGCAAAUCCUUAAUUUGCAUUCCAGCCGGCGGUUAAUCACUAUGCAAAAAACGAUGGAACCCAAAGAAGCAGCAGAUUCGGCAAUAAUCCAUGAUCUGCAGUACACUUUCCGCCACAAGUUCUUUAACACCGGUGAAAUUAAAGGGCGUGCGAGAGAAGAUGUGCAAGCCGAAUAUCUCACUAAAAGAAGUAAACGUGGAAAUGGAGUAGCAAAAUUGCCAUGUAAUGAGUAAAUCAACGAAUUUUUAAUACGGCGCGCAAUACACGUUUGAAGAAUAGACGGGAAGAACACGUGAUGCACUAAUAAAAACAAGGCCGGCUUGGUAAGACCUGUAGCAUUCAACGCGUCAGCCACAUGAAUGAUUUAUGCAAUGUAAGCUUUUACUCUUAUUAUAUUUCAACCUUAUGAAGUUCAAACGAUAAAUGUGUCAAAUUACUAAAUAACUUGUGGAUUAAUUACGGUUUAGACGCAUCACAGGAAUCCAAAGGAAAAAUAUUGCGGAUCUGGCGCUUUUUCCCUAUAAACAGCAUGGUCCAGACGCAGGUGCGCCAAUACUCUCGGUACGUUUUGAUUAUAUUCUCACUGUUACACUGUUAUAGCUAUGAAAGUUAAAAGGGCGUUCCCCAAAAGUUCAAUACUCUUAAAGGUUAAAAGUCGUGAUGUCCUUUUCUGCAUUUGACGUCUACCAACAGCUUCCCAGUCCAUUUCCGUCAGUUAGAAUAACGAAAAGAUUUAGUUUUUUUGGCGGCGUGCUCUGGAAAAAUGUCUUGUAUUCCCGGUCCUUUGUCGGGGUUGGUGAAUUUCGCUUCCUCGCGCAAUUGCUUUCGUAUUUUUGCGAGAGAGAUGGUUAGGAGGUCUAUGUGAACUUGCCCUCGUAUUGCUGUCCACUUUGAAAUAAAAGCAAUUAAUUAUUUCGUUAGUUUUUCGUGAUUAAUUAGACUUUAAAAUUUCAGUUUUCCUCUUACUAUGUCGGCAUCGUUCGAGUUUUUGUGGAUCCUGUAGAAAAUUUAACUGAAAUUGCUCCCCUUUAAAACAUGUCCAAUGUGAAAUUAGCUUCCUUUUCAUUAGACAAACUAAUCGGGAUUUUGUAUACCAUAAAUCGUUGGCUUCUAAGUGAUUGAAGGUAUAAUUGAAAGUAUGUAUUGAAGGUACUGUUUCAUUACCUGUCCUAAUUCCCUUGAAUCCUCAGGCUCUGAAUAAUUAAUCUAGAAACGCAGGACAAUAUGCGAUUGAAUUUCGUCAGUGUUCGUAUUAAUCUAAUUGUAAUACCACAAUAGAAACAAUUCUUUUUUUCGAAUCGGAAAUCUUGCAUCCUCCUUAUCUGAGGCGGAUGAAGAUCAAUGUCUUCUCUCUGCAAUCGGCGAGGAAUCAGACUGAAAUAGUGGUCAAUUUGCUUCGAGAUAUUUAGAUGACUGCUAUAAUAUUGUAUUCGGAUAGAAUGUUUUUAAUUUCCGGUCUUAUGUCUGGAUUCUCAGAUACCAUCUUGAUAAGCAGCCGUUUCUGCGUGCAAGAAAAUUUAAUGCCCGAUAAAACAAAGUGUAUCUCUGUGUGUCUGCUUACUUACAAACUUUGUGCCGUAGAUUUCUUCAAAUUUAGGUGGGAGCUGGUAAACUUUCAAGUUGGAAAUGGCUAUCAGUCGCUCGGAAGCGGAACCGAAUGGAAUCAGCAGUUCGAAGAGGAUGAUAGCCAGUGCAUAGACGUCCACCUUGUGGUUAUACGUUUGGCAUUUCUCCUGUUCAGGUGCCAUGUAAGGCUUGGUGCCAACAUAGACCGUGUGAUUCAUCCGAGAAGUACCCGUUCCUGACCGCGUCUGUCCGUAGUCCACAUCGGAGGUUAGUAGAGCCUGUUCCAUUGUCAUUCCUUUGCUUAGUCCGAAAUCGCCAAUUUUAAUUGACCAUUCGGAGUUGAAGAAAAUGUUACUUGGCUUUAAAUCACGAUGAAUUAUAUUCUACAGAAUUAAUACCAAAAGAUGAAAAACCAUUGCAGAAAAGAAAAUAAACUUUUAAUUAGAACCUGAUUGUGGAGAUAAUGCACCGCCUGUAAAAUAGAUUGAAACAUGUUGUUAACGUCCAGUUGAACACGUUGGGAAAUCGGAGUCUUCAGCCAAUCGGCCAGAUUUUCUUUGCGACAAAGCUCCAUCUUGAUAUACAAAUACAGCCAUUCUCUCUGAACCUCGUCAUCCCUUCGCGUGGCGCUGCCAUCGCUUUUUGCUGACAAUGCCAGCUGAUUAGACAGAGAAGAGUCGCUGACAUUUCCCCAACGCUCGUCCUCCAUUUUCAUUCGUUUUUCGUAAUCGAUGCUAAUUUCAGCCUCACUAGAAAAAUCGUCACUUUGGCUAGACCACGACACGUCAACCUGAUCUUGUUUGCUGUUUCUCCGCCAUGACGGUGGAAGAGUCUCCCACCAGCCGCAGUAGUACUGGACUAUAUUGGGAUGAUGCAAUCGUCGCAUUUCCUGACCAAAGUCAGUGAACGAGAUGUAUUAAUACGAUGCUUAAUGAGGCAAAGACGAUCACAGAAUUGAAAUGUAAUUCUUACAGUUAACUCCCUCAUACUGCUGUAUACCAAUUCCACAUCGUCGUCGUUUGAUAGUUUAAUGCAUUUGAUAGCAAAGGUC